rnacentral:rRNA from 1 species
AGAACGAACGCUGGCGGCGUGGAUAAGACAUGCAAGUCGGACGGGAACUUUUGUUGUAGCAAUACAGUGGAAGUUUUAGUGGCGAACGGGUGCGUAACACGUGGGCAAUUUGCCUUAAAGUGUGGGAUAGCUCGGCGAAAGCCGGAUUAAUACCGCAUGUGGCUACUGGAGACAUCUUCGGGACGCUAAAGGUGGCGCAAGCUACCGCUUUUUGAGAAGCCCGCGGCCUAUCAGCUUGUUGGUGAGGUAACGGCUCACCAAGGCGUUGACGGGUA